rnacentral:rRNA from 1 species
CCUACGGGGUGCAGCAGUGAGGAAUAUUGGUCAAUGGACGCAAGUCUGAACCAGCCAUGCCGCGUGCAGGAAGACGGCUCUAUGAGUUGUAAACUGCUUUUGUACGAGGGUAAACGCAGAUACGCGUAUCUGUCUGAAAGUAUCGUACGAAUAAGGAUCGGCUAACUCCGUGCCAGCAGCCGCGGUAAUACGGAGGAUUCAAGCGUUAUCCGGAUUUAUUGGGUUUAAAGGGUGCGUAGGCGGUCGGAUAAGUUAGAGGUGAAAUCCCGAGGCUCAACUUCGGAAUUGCCUCUGAUACUGUGCGGCUAGAGAGUAGGUGCGGUAGGCGGAAUGUAUGGUGUAGCGGUGAAAUGCUUAGAGAUCAGACAGAACACCGAUUGCGAAGGCAGCUUACCAAGCUACUUCUGACGUUGAGGCACGAAAGCGUGGGGAGCAAACAGGAUUAGAUACCCGGGUAGUC